CAUAUUAAUUUUAAUGGUUUAAACCGAAACAAGAAACGAAGGGUGAAUACAUGUGUCUUCAUUUUUUAUCAUUUUGCUGAAAAAGAGAACAUUAAAAGAAGCCUGCUUCUGGGGAACGACUUUAGACGCAAGCCAUCUAUAUAAAUACAAAGAAAAUAAGAUUUAAAUAAGGGUUAGUGAAAUCUUUUUGCAUUUUUAAUUCUUGUGUCGUCAUACAAACGUUUCAUCAAUAAAAUAGAUUCCCUGUUCACCAUACCAAAAAACUAACAUUAUUAAGAAAAAUUAUAGUUAACUAAGAAAAUACUAACAGCUUCGGAUAAAAUUUUGACGGGAACUUGUCUUAUAAGAAAAUUGUGAUUCUAGAUUGAGCUUAAUUACUCCCACACACUUGGUCAGCCCAAAUUGUCGUUUCUCUUCCUUUUACACAUUUAUGAUGUAAUAUAAGAUUAUCAUUACUUUAUUAUAACCACAUUUUGUAGACAUUGAAAAUCUUUUCGUGCAUUCAAGUAUCAAUGAUUUAUACAAUUUGCACUGUCUGAUAUCAUUUCCAUAAAAGUUGAAGUAUGUUUAGUAUGCUCGCGUGACCGAAACAAAUAUAUAUUUUAUGAUGCAAAUAUUGCAUAAAUAUACACAUCGUAAACCAGCUCAUCAGACAACUCUACGAGAUGCUUUAAUAGGUCUGGUACACUUUGUAAAAUGUUGAUUAGAAAUCGCUCAUUUAAUCGUUUUUAUAAUCUUCAAGUUCUUUUUAAUGUGAGAUUUUCAUUUGUGGUGAAUACAUUGCACAUAGUUGAAAUUUUCAUAACAAUAACUCGACUUUAGCAUCGACAUUUAAAGUAUGUUUACAUUAUACACAUAUAUAUAAAAACUAUCUAUGACAA